rnacentral:rRNA from 1 species
GACGAACGCUGGCGGCGUGCUUAACACAUGCAAGUCGAACGGAAAGGCCCCUUUGGGGGUACUCGAGUGGCGAACGGGUGCGUAACACGUGAGUAACCUGCCCUUGACUUCGGGAUAACUUCAGGAAACUGGGGCUAAUACCGGAUAGGAAUCCUUGCUGCAUGGUGGGGGUUGGAAAGCUUCGGCGGUUUUGGAUGGACUCGCGGCUUAUCAGCUUGUUGGUGGGGUAGUGGCUUACCAAGGCUUUGACGGGUAGCCGGCCUGAGAGGGCGACCGGCCACAUUGGGACUGAGAUACGGCCCAGACUCCUACGGGAGGCAGCAGUGGGGAAUAUUGCACAAGGGGCGGAAGCCUGAUGCAGCAACGCCGCGUGCGGGAUGACGGCCUUAGGGUUGAAAACCGCUUUCAGCAGGGGCGAAGCUUGUGGUGACGGUACCUGCAGAAGAAGCACCGGCUAACUACGUG